rnacentral:lncRNA from 1 species
AAUGGAAAGCUUCCUACGUAGAGGAAGAAAUAUGUGCAAAGGCAUAUAGGUAUGAAAAUCAGGAAAGUGAAAUUGAUUUAUGCAAUUUGAGAUAAAAACAUAUUUAUUACUCUCAUAAUUAUUACCAUCAACUUCAUCAUCCCAUCAACAUUAUUUAUUAAUUUCCAUGCAGAGUGGCCAUAUGGAUUUGAUUCCUGUCCUCCAGAGGAGCUCAGCCCAAGGGAACACGGGUGUAGAUUAAGCACUGACCAGGAGUACAAAUCCUGCCUUCUCUCAGCCUUACAGAGGAAGAAAACGCUUUCCAAGUUUCCUCUGAUACUGGGUUUAGGCCCAAUUCUGGUUUAGGUGAGAUCAUUCUAAGAUGCACAGUUCACCUCUGUGCAUCUUCUCCUGUGAAGUACCUGUUAUUAAUUUUAAAAUAUUCCUUAG